GACGAACGCUGGCGGCGUGCUUAACACAUGCAAGUCGAACGCUGAAGCUCAGCUUUUGUUGGGUGGAUGAGUGGCGAACGGGUGAGUAACACAUGAGUAACCUGCCCCCUUCUUUGGGAUAACGCCCGGAAACGGGUGCUAAUACUGGAUAUUCACUGGUCUUCGCAUGGGGGUUGGUGGAAAGGGUUUUUCUGGUGGGGGAUGGGCUCGCGGCCUAUCAGCUUGUUGGUGGGGUGAUGGCCUACCAAGGCUUUGACGGGUAGCCGGCCUGAGAGGGUGACCGGUCACAUUGGGACUGAGAUACGGCCCAGACUCCUACGGGAGGCAGCAGUGGGGAAUAUUGCACAAUGGGCGCAAGCCUGAUGCAGCGACGCCGCGUGAGGGAUGGAGGCCUUCGGGUUGUGAACCUCUUUCGCUCAUGGUCAAGCCGCAACAAUGGUUGUGGUGAGGGUAGUGGGUAAAGAAGCGCCGGCUAACUACGUG
rnacentral:rRNA from 1 species